AGAAAAGGGAGCUGAGGACAUUGAAGCAACCUUCGGGGGCCUCCCAGACAAUAGAGCCCAGGGGCAGGUCAACCCCCCUGAUGCCCAGGGCAACACACUAGGGGAUCGGAAUGAGCACCAUCAAGACAACCCCAGAGUCAUAAGACAACUGCAGCUUCCCUUCUAAUUAGAUUUCCCAUUGGCAAGAGGAGGAGGAGCAGCGCUAAUCAACUCCAGUACAUCUCCACUACACAGCCUUGGUCAGCCCUGCUCUCUACUCCUCACACACCGGACAUGUUUGGGUUGGAAAUCAUCACGCAGGCUGGAUUCUGGAGGGGAGCGGCUAAGCAGAGCGAGGGCGAGUGUGGUGGGUCCAAUGCUCUUCUCUCUCAGCUGUUAUUCAUAGGAAGCAGGGGCGGACCGGGACCAGAAAUCGUCCCUGGCAUUUCUAACACACCGGCACAUUUUUUCUCUUGAGGCCCCCAUUAUUAGACAGAUAAUGGUCAAAACAACAAGUUAGACCCACUGGGCUAAAAAUGAACAAGCCCAUCUGGCAUUUGUGCAAAAUGAUCAUUAUCUGUCUGAUAAACUGGGCCUCGGGAAACAUUUUGCCUGUGUGGGGGCCUCGAGGGAAAAGAUCGGCCAGUGUGUUAGAAAUGCCAGAGACGAUUUCUGGUCCCAGUCUGCCCAUGAGAGGAAGGACAGCUGGCUUGCUACUCCCAACACACUUAAACUCCACAGUGAAGUUAUGAUGAUUUCCCUGCAUGUGAUAACCUCUGUUCAUUAAUUCCCAUGAAACUUGGCCAAAGAAAGAGAAGCUUACUUCCCUUAUGGGUGGGAUAGAAAAUGAACGGACAAACCAUGCAUGCUGACCACACUAGCCAACUCCUGUUGACAUUUUUGGAAGGUGUGUGUAACGGUAAUGGUGUUGGCGUGGUGGAGACAGGAGAUGGGAGACAUACUGUAGACCUAUUUAAGUGUUAGUGAUGUG
rnacentral:lncRNA from 1 species